UAAUACUACCACAAUGUUGUGCCUUAUUUUGGAGUAUUAUUACUUUUAGCACAUACAAAAACCUUGUAUAAUAUUUGAUCGUAAAAAAUAUAUAAAAUUUAACCGACACAACAUCUGCAAGCCAAAAAACGUAAAACCCGAGCAUAACCCGCUUGAUCACUAAUGUUGUUUGAAUCCAUUCCUGCAAAAAGGUUAUGAUGUAUUAGCUAUAGGUUAACCUAAAAAUAAAGCCAACUUGUGAGAAUAGUUUCAAUUAAGUAUACAAUGUAAAAAAACCUCACAACAAUUAAUAAUUUUAAAUUCCGAAUUUCUAAUUUUUUUUUAUUAAUGAGACUUUUGUAUAAGAUAUGGGAAAUUUAUGUCAAUAAUUUUCAGUUCCAUUGUCGGCAAGUACUCCAUUUGUUUUAAUUUGUUUGAAUCUUUUUGGAGUACAAUGUUAGAAUAAGUGAUUAACGCUAGAGGGGGGGUGAAUAGCGUUUUAUAAAAAUUCGCAGUAAAAAAUAACUCAAAUG
rnacentral:lncRNA from 1 species